rnacentral:rRNA from 1 species
GGGUUGUGAGGUUAAGCGACUAAGCGUACACGGUGGAUGCCCUGGCAGUCAGAGGCGAUGAAGGGCGUGCUAAUCUGCGAUAAGCGCCGGUAAGGUGAUAUGAACCGUUAUAACCGGCGAUACCCGAAUGGGGAAACCCAGUGUGACUCGUCACACUAUCAUUAACUGAAUCCAUAGGUUAAUGAGGCGAACCGGGGGAACUGAAACAUCUAAGUACCCCGAGGAAAAGAAAUCAACCGAGAUUCCCCCAGUAGCGGCGAGCGAACGGGGAGGAGCCCAGAGCCUGAAUCAGCAUGUGUGUUAGUGGAAGCGUCUGGAAAGGCGCGCGAUACAGGGUGACAGCCCCGUACACAAAAGCGCAUGUGCUGUGAGCUCGAUGAGUAGGGCGGGACACGUGGUAUCCUGUCUGAAUAUGGGGGGACCAUCCUCCAAGGCUAAAUACUCCUGACUGACCGAUAGUGAACCAGUACCGUGAGGGAAAGGCGAAAAGAACCCCGGCGAGGGGAGUGAAAAAGAACCUGAAACCGUGUACGUACAAGCAGUGGGAGCNNNNNNNNNNNNNNNNNNNNNNNNNNNNNNNNNNNGUGACUGCGUACCUUUUGUAUAAUGGGUCAGCGACUUAUAUUCUGUAGCAAGGUUAACCGAAUAGGGGAGCCGGAGGGAAACCGAGUCUUAAUUGGGCGUUAAGUUGCAGGGUAUAGACCCGAAACCCGGUGAUCUAGCCAUGGGCAGGUUGAAGGUUGGGUAACACUAACUGGAGGACCGAACCGACUAAUGUUGAAAAAUUAGCGGAUGACCUGUGGCUGGGGGUGAAAGGCCAAUCAAACCGGGAGAUAGCUGGUUCUCCCCGAAAGCUAUUUAGGUAGCGCCUCGUGAAUUCAUCUCCGGGGGUAGAGCACUGUUUCGGCUAGGGGGCCAUCCCGGCUUACCAACCCGAUGCAAACUGCGAAUACCGGAGAAUGUUAUCACGGGAGACACACGGCGGGUGCUAACGUCCGUCGUGAAGAGGGAAACAACCCAGACCGCCAGCUAAGGUCCCAAAGUCAUGGUUAAGUGGGAAACGAUGUGGGAAGGCCCAGACAGCCAGGAUGUUGGCUUAGAAGCAGCCAUCAUUUAAAGAAAGCGUAAUAGCUCACUGGUCGAGUCGGCCUGCGCGGAAGAUGUAACGGGGCUAAACCAUGCACCGAAGCUGCGGCAGCGANNNNNNNNNNNNNNNNNNNNNNNNNNNNNNNNNNNNNNNNNNNNNNNNNNNNNNNNGUUGGGUAGGGGAGCGUUCUGUAAGCCUGUGAAGGUGUGUCGUGAGGCAUGCUGGAGGUAUCAGAAGUGCGAAUGCUGACAUAAGUAACGAUAAAGCGGGUGAAAAGCCCGCUCGCCGGAAGACCAAGGGUUCCUGUCCAACGUUAAUCGGGGCAGGGUGAGUCGACCCCUAAGGCGAGGCCGAAAGGCGUAGUCGAUGGGAAACGGGUUAAUAUUCCCGUACUUGGUGUUACUGCGAAGGGGGGACGGAGAAGGCUAUGUUGGCCGGGCGACGGUUGUCCCGGUUUAAGCGUGUAGGUGUGUGUUCCAGGUAAAUCCGGUUCACUUUAACACUGAGGCGUGAUGACGAGGCACUACGGUGCUGAAGCAACAAAUGCCCUGCUUCCAGGAAAAGCCUCUAAGCAUCAGGUAACAUCAAAUCGUACCCCAAACCGACACAGGUGGUCAGGUAGAGAAUACCAAGGCGCUUGAGAGAACUCGGGUGAAGGAACUAGGCAAAAUGGUGCCGUAACUUCGGGAGAAGGCACGCUGACACGUAGGUGAAGUGAUUUACUCAUGGAGCUGAAGUCAGUCGAAGAUACCAGCUGGCUGCAACUGUUUAUUAAAAACACAGCACUGUGCAAACACGAAAGUGGACGUAUACGGUGUGACGCCUGCCCGGUGCCGGAAGGUUAAUUGAUGGGGUCAGCGCAAGCGAAGCUCCUGAUCGAAGCCCCGGUAAACGGCGGCCGUAACUAUAACGGUCCUAAGGUAGCGAAAUUCCUUGUCGGGUAAGUUCCGACCUGCACGAAUGGCGUAAUGAUGGCCAGGCUGUCUCCACCCGAGACUCAGUGAAAUUGAACUCGCUGUGAAGAUGCAGUGUACCCGCGGCAAGACGGAAAGACCCCGUGAACCUUUACUAUAGCUUGACACUGAACAUUGAGCCUUGAUGUGUAGGAUAGGUGGGAGGCUUUGAAGCGUGGACGCCAGUCUGCGUGGAGCCGACCUUGAAAUACCACCCUUUAAUGUUUGAUGUUCUAACGUGGACCCGUAAUCCGGGUUGCGGACAGUGUCUGGUGGGUAGUUUGACUGGGGCGGUCUCCUCCUAAAGAGUAACGGAGGAGCACGAAGGUUGGCUAAUCCUGGUCGGACAUCAGGAGGUUAGUGCAAUGGCAUAAGCCAGCUUGACUGCGAGCGUGACGGCGCGAGCAGGUGCGAAAGCAGGUCAUAGUGAUCCGGUGGUUCUGAAUGGAAGGGCCAUCGCUCAACGGAUAAAAGGUACUCCGGGGAUAACAGGCUGAUACCGCCCAAGAGUUCAUAUCGACGGCGGUGUUUGGCACCUCGAUGUCGGCUCAUCACAUCCUGGGGCUGAAGUAGGUCCCAAGGGUAUGGCUGUUCGCCAUUUAAAGUGGUACGCGAGCUGGGUUUAGAACGUCGUGAGACAGUUCGGUCCCUAUCUGCCGUGGGCGCUGGAGAACUGAGGGGGGCUGCUCCUAGUACGAGAGGACCGGAGUGGACGCAUCACUGGUGUUCGGGUUGUCAUGCCAAUGGCACUGCCCGGUAGCUAAAUGCGGAAGAGAUAAGUGCUGAAAGCAUCUAAGCACGAAACUUGCCCCGAGAUGAGUUCUCCCUGAGACUU